rnacentral:rRNA from 1 species
GAACUGCGCGAACGUUAUUCGGAAUCACUGGGCUUAAAGAGUCCGUAGGCGGCUCGGUAGGUGAGGUGUGAAAUCCCACGGCUCAACCGUGGAAUAGCGCUUCAAACCACCGGGCUUGAGGGAGAUAGAGGAGAGCGGAACUGAUGGUGGAGCGGUGAAAUGCGUUGAUAUCAUCAGGAACACCGGUGGCGAAAGCGGCUCUCUGGGUCUCUUCUGACGCUGAGGGACGAAAGCUAGGGGAGCGAACGGGGGAUUAGAUACCCCGGUAGUCCUAGCCGUAAACGAUGAGCACUAGAUCGAGGGGACCCCCCACAUCCUCUUGGUCGUAGCGAAAGUGUUAAGUGCUCCGCCUGGGGAGUAUGGUCGCAAGGCUG